rnacentral:rRNA from 1 species
GUAGGGAAUAUUGCACAAUGGGGGAAACCCUGAUGCAGCGACGCCGCGUGAGUGAUGAAGGCCUUCGGGUCGUAAAGCUCUGUCGUAUGGGACUAACACAAUGAAGGUACCAUGCAAGAAAGGAUCGGCUAACUUCGUGCCAGCAGCCGCGGUAAGACGAGGGAUCCUAGCGUUGUUCGGAAUCAUUGGGCGUAAAGCGGGUGUAGGCGGAUUUAUAAGUCAGGUGUGAAAUCCCAGGGCUCAACCCUGGAAGUGCACUUGAUACUGUAAAUCUUGAGUGUGGUAGAGGUUACUGGAAUUGUUGGUGUAGUGGUGAAAUACGUAGAUAUCAACAGGAAUACCGGAGGCGAAGGCGAGUAACUGGGCCAACACUGACGCUGAGACCCGAAAGCGUGGGGAUCAAACAGGAUUAGAUACCCGAGUAGUCC